CACUCCUACGGGAGGCAGCAGUGGGGAAUUUUGGACCAUGGGGGCAACCCUGAUCCAGCAAUGCCGCGUGAGUGAAGAAGGCCUUCGGGUUGUAAAGCUCUUUUGUCAGGGAAGAAACGGUGGUGGCGAAUAACUACUACUAAUGACGGUACCUGAAGAAUAAGCACCGGCUAACUACGUGCCAGCAGCCGCGGUAAUACGUAGGGUGCAAGCGUUAAUCGGAAUUACUGGGCGUAAAGCGUGCGCAGGCGGUUGUGUAAGUCAGAUGUGAAAUCCCCGGGCUCAACCUGGGAAUUGCAUUUGAGACUGCACGGCUAGAGUGUGUCAGAGGGGGGUAGAAUUCCACGUGUAGCAGUGAAAUGCGUAGAUAUGUGGAGGAAUACCGAUGGCGAAGGCAGCCCCCUGGGAUAACACUGACGCUCAUGCACGAAAGCGUGGGGAGCAAACAGGAUUAGAUACCCCAGUAGUCCCAUG
rnacentral:rRNA from 1 species